AAGUAGCAUUUGUUGUUCUAGGAACAUCAAGGAUGCAUUUACACAGGUAUCUAACUGUAUUAUCUCUCCCCAGAAUGAUUAAAGGAGCAGAUUUGAAACCUGUUGCUAAUCCUUACUUUCCUAGGGAAAAAAAUGACUUUCAAAGAUUUCCCUAAAGACUUGGAAUGAUAGAGUAUUCAUUAACUGUAAUAGGAACACCAAAGAUGGGUAGUCCUUACACAGAGAAAGGAUGGGAGCUCAGUGUGCAGGGUCAUAUUGAGGCAGACAUUAUAUAUUCAGGUAGAAACAUCAGUUUAGUAGUUGCUGUGGGAUACUAAAAUUCAGGCAGUUAUCUGGAACCUUGGUAUAAAUUUGGGAAACAUUAGCAUAUAAAUAGUAUUUAAAAUCAUGAGCUAGGAAGUGAUCACCAGAAGAUUGAGAAUAGAUUGAAAAGGGAAACCUAAAAUAGCAACUCCAGAAUUAAUAGAUGCUGGGGGUAAAAUAUUAAUCAUUUGAGUACUAAAUAUAUUUAGUAUUUAAUUAUAAGUGAUAUAUAUCACCCAUGUAAUAAUCACAGGAAUGAAGGAUGUUUUAAUAGUAUUUCUACAUAUAAUAAGAUACUUAAAUGUUUCAACUGGUAGGAAACAGUUGACCUUGUGAACAAAAACGUAGACAUUAAAUAAAAUAGUCAAGAUCACAUUUUUGCUUAGAUAUUUUCUUUUAAUUAAGAGAGUUUUCCAAAUGUUCCUAAGAAAUUAUUCCUAUGUGGCAGGCUUUCAAGGUUAAAUAUAUUAUACAUCAAAAUAGGUAAACCUCAAGAAAGAGAGAGUUUUGUUGAACAUUUUAAAAUAACUCAACAUUUCUGAAAGCAUAAAAGAAGUUUGAUAAUUUCAUACAUACCUCAGUUUCUUUUCUACUAUUGUAAUAGAAAGUAUUUUUUUUUUAUCAUUCCUCUUUCAUGGUUAAUUUUAAACCUAGAACCUCUUCAAAGUUAUCAACUGUUUUAUGACCAAAUUUUUAAGCCAUAUUCAAAGUGGAGAUCAAUGAUCUCAUAUUGUG
rnacentral:lncRNA from 1 species